rnacentral:rRNA from 1 species
CCCUACGGGGGCACCAGGCUGCGGGGUGGACACUUGAACAAACGGACGCAAGCUAUCCAGGGUGGUCGCUGGCAAGGGUAAAUUGUGCUUCAACCCUAAAUCUAGAAUCGUCUCAAGCCGAAUACUACCAUCAAGGUGUUUGUGCAGUUCAAUGAGGGGAAGAUCUUUUGAAAUCAUCGUUGCGCUCCUGAUAGAUGGGAUUAUUUUAAAGUAUGAAGAAGGAUGCCAAGCUCUUCAGCCCGGGCUUGGACACGAUCAACCAGGUCAUCCGGCGGAAAGGAAAAGUAAAAAGUUCCUUCUUCCACCUCACCCGAGAGGUCGAUGCCGCUCCAGAAGACCUCUGUUUUCUGUGGCAGGCGGGAGAGC